UUAGGAAUCUUGCGCAAUGGGCGAAAGCCUGACGCAGCAACGCCGCGUGAGGGAUGAAGGCCUUAGGGUUGUAAACCUCUUUUAGUGGGGAAGAAACAAAUGACGGUACCCGCAGAAAAAGCACCGGCUAACUCUGUGCCAGCAGCCGCGGUAAGACAGAGGGUGCAAGCGUUAUUCGGAAUUACUGGGCGUAAAGCGCACGUAGGUGGCUUGUUAAGUCAGAUGUGAAAGCCCUAGGCUCAAUCUAGGA
rnacentral:rRNA from 1 species